CUUCGGGGGCAGACCAACAGGGAUGCCCCAGUAACGGCGAGUGAAGCGGCAACAGCUCAAAUUUGAAAUCUGGCCCCUAGGGCCCGAGUUGUAAUUUGCAGAGGAUGCUUUUGGUGAGGCGCCGCCUGAGUGCCCUGGAACGGGCCGCCACAGAGGGUGAGAGCCCCGUCUGGCUGGCUGCCGAGCCUCUUUAAAGCUCCUUCGACGAGUCGAGUAGUUUGGGAAUGCUGCUCUAAAUGGGAGGUAUAUGUCUUCUAAAGCUAAAUAUUGGCCAGAGACCGAUAGCGCACAAGUAGAGUGAUCGAAAGAUGAAAAGCACUUUGAAAAGAGGGUUAAAUAGUACGUGAAAUUGUUGAAAGGGAAGCGCUCAUGACCAGACUUGGGCCUGGCGAAUCAUCCGGCGUUCUCGCCGGUGCACUUUGCCAGGUCCAGGCCAGCAUCAGUUCGCCGCGGGGGAUAAAGGUUUCGGGAACGUGGCUCCUCCGGGAGUGUUAUAGCCCGUUGCGUAAUACCCUGCGGUGGACUGAGGUCCGCGCAUCUGCAAGGAUGCUGGCGUAAUGGUCAUCAGCGACCCGUCUUGAAACACGGACCAAGGAGUCGUCCUCGUAUGCGAGUGUUCGGGUGUCAAACCCCUACGCGUAAUGAAAGUGAACGCAGGUGAGAGCUUCGGCGCAUCAUCGACCGAUCCUGAUGUUCUCGGAUGGAUUUGAGUAAGAGCAUACGGGGCCGGACCCGAAAGAAGGUGAACUAUGCCUGUAUAGGGUGAAGCCAGAGGAAACUCUGGUGGAGGCUCGCAGCGGUUCUGACGUGCAAAUCGAUCGUCAAAUAUGGGCAUGGGGGCGAAAGACUAAUCGAACCUUCUAGUAGCUGGUUUCCGCCGAUUCCUCCCCCCGGAAAAAAACCAUUUG
rnacentral:rRNA from 1 species